GCUUUUGUACGGAACGAAAAGCUUUGGGUUAAUACCCUGGAGUCAUGACGGUACCGUAAGAAUAAGCACCGGCUAACUACGUGCCAGCAGCCGCGGUAAUACGUAGGGUGCAAGCGUUAUCCGGAUUUACUGGGCGUAAAGCGUGCGCAGGCGGUUUUGUAAGACAGAGGUGAAAUCCCCGGGCUCAACCUGGGAACUGCCUUUGUGACUGCAAGGCUAGAGUACGGCAGAGGGGGAUGGAAUUCCGCGUGUAGCAGUGAAAUGCGUAGAUAUGCGGAGGAACACCGAUGGCGAAGGCAAUCCCCUGGGCCUGUACUGACGCUCAUGCACGAAAGCGUGGGGAGCAAACAGGAUUAGAUACCCUGGUAGUCCACGCCCUAAACGAUGUCAACUGGUUGUUGGGUCUUCAUUGACUCAGUAACGAAGCUAACGCGUGAAGUUGCCGCCUGG
rnacentral:rRNA from 1 species